GGCUGCUCUCUCACAAUCUACAAUCUUGGGCUACAAGGAUAUCCCUGAACAGGGAACGGGGCUGGUCCUGACUUGUCACUCCCUUCUGUGAGGCUCUGGUUAAGGCUCUUCACCUCUCUCUUGCAGUAUCAAGCAACACAAUUUGAGAGUCUCUGUUUUCUUAUGGUUCUUCUAUUAACAGACCAUUUAACAGAUGUUCUGGACUGAAGUACUAAACGGUCAUCACUUUCAGGCCAGACCAUGUCAUCUUCGUCUUCAUCUUCCCACCUCCUAGACCUGUGCCUGGCAAUUACUAGGUGCUCAACAAGUAUCUGUUGUAUCAUUGCAUGGAUGGAAGAAAGGAUGAAUGAAUAAAU